rnacentral:rRNA from 1 species
AGUGAACGCUGGCGGUAGGCCUAACACAUGCAAGUCGAACGGCAGCACAGUAAGAGCUUGCUCUUACGGGUGGCGAGUGGCGGACGGGUGAGGAAUACAUCGGAAUCUACUUUUUCGUGGGGGAUAACGUAGGGAAACUUACGCUAAUACCGCAUACGACCUACGGGUGAAAGCAGGGGAUCUUCGGACCUUGCGCGAUUGAAUGAGCCGAUGUCGGAUUAGCUAGUUGGCGGGGUAAAGGCCCACCAAGGCGACGAUCCGUAGCUGGUCUGAGAGGAUGAUCCGCCAGACUGGAACAGAGAAACGGCACAGACUCCUACGGGAGGAAGCAGUGGGGAAUAUUGGACAAUGGGCGCAAGCCUGAUCCAGCCAUACCGCGUGGGUGAAGAAGGCCUUCGGGUUGUAAAGCCCUUUUGUUGGGAAAGAAAAGCAGCACGUUAAUACCCCGCUGUUCUGACGGUACCCAAAGAAUAAGCACCGGCUAACUUCGUG